CUCACUCUUCUAAAGAUGACCCCACGAAUGGAAACGUAGACUCGAGACGGAGGUGAUCCUCCUCUUCUUACGAUUACGAGUCCGUACAGCAAGGUCAAAGUACGUUUAUCGGCAAGAGAUAGGAUUUCCUGCUGUCGUCUGGCCAGACGAGGAUUGUAUUGCCAAUAUUUAUUGCAUACAGAGUGUGAACCGUGUAAUAUGAUCAAUUGAGAAUUGUUUUUCCUGAGGAAUUUGCAUCGUCGGUAAAAAUCUUAGAGACUCGCCAAAAGAGAGAAAACCGAUGGAAUCCUUCAAUAAGCAAGAAGUUAUCGGGACAUGGUACUUCUCGUCCGGUUGAAUUCUCUCUCUCUCUCUCUCUCUCUCUCUCUCUCUCUCUCUCUCUCUCUCUGUCUCUUAGUCGCAGUGACGUUCUCGUUUUCUAAAGAAGGAAUAAUAGGAGCUAUGACGUCGAUACCACCGGCUCUUAGAAAGGGUAGUAAGGGAGAGGGAGGGAAGCAUUCGAGGGGUGAGAAACAAAGGUUUUCAUCCGUCGAGACCCAUAACCUAGUACGCAUAUCGUGUCAUGCGACUCCUGAUAUAUUCCACAAUUAACCUUACUAAUAAAUUAUUGCUCUAGCGACUUCUCGUUGGUAAGAAACCAAUGAGUACAAUCAUAUCACGUGACCCCAAGCCACGUUGGAUUAUCCGACAGUUCGCAGUGCCCUUGAAAGCAGUCAUUUAUAAUAUUUUCUUAGAUAGACGCGUUAGCUGGUCAUGUGUUUCGAUCAAUGAACUUUCCUUAAUGCCUUCUAUGCGUGUAAAUAGUAAGACAUACAGGAAUCGAGUAAAGAAACUCUAUAUAUAUAUAUAUAUAUAUAUAUAUAUAUAUAUAUAUAUAUAUAUAUAUACAUAGAGAGAGAGAGAGAGAGAGAGAGAUAGAGAGAGAGUGAAAACAAGAAAGAAACUAAGGAAGGAAGGAAAGAAGGAAGGAAAAACGAAUCGGGUCGCGUUGGGUCGUUCGCCAGGAAAUCAGUCAACCGGUUUCGUCGCCGUCGUCGUCGUCGUCGUUGAGAGGGAAAGAGACGACGUAGAUGAAGAGGUUGAAACAUAGAGUAAGCAUAGAGAAAGAAGAUGGAGAGGAAGGAGAAGAGAGGAGAGAAUAGGUAUCGGCGUGAGUACUUCUCCCCUCUUUUCGCGUAGCGUCUUUUUUCCUCCUUUUCUCCCUGACUCUUCUCUUUUCUGUUGUUAGUUCCCUUGUCGAAGGAACGAAAAAGACCGAAAAGCUACGAGAGUUGCCGAGUAAAGACGAGAAGCAACGAGGAGAUACGAGGAAGGCCGAGGAGAGUCGCGCACCGCGGCGCUGAACGCAGUGCCAUCCGAUAGGCAGCACCGCUUGCUCCGUGGAUCCUUCGCUUCGCUCGCUCGUACGGAAGCCCUGGUUCUCUCUUCGUGCUCUCCCACCUUUUUUCUCUUUCCCUCUCUCUCUUUUUUUCCUUCCUUCUCUCUCUCUCUGUUUUUAUCAGAGAGAGAGGGAGAGAGAGACGAGCAAGCUUCCUCAUUUCUCGCGUCUCUUUCUCUUUCGAUAGUCGAAGUAAUAUUAUUGUGGGCCUUGGUGCGCCUUUUUGUUGUCGUUCGUUCGUUCGUUGCUCACACGCACGCUCGCACGCACGCACGCACCCACGCACGCACGCAUGCACGCACGCAGCGUGAACGAUUUCGCACGAUAUACACAAACAUAUACAUAUGUAUAGGAGUAAUACAUAGACGCAGUGAAUCUUACGCGACGCACGUCUCUCUCUCUCGUCCCUCUCUCUCUCUCUCUCUCUCUCUCUCUCUCUCUCUCUCUCUCUCUCUCUCUCUCUCUCUCUCUCUCUUUCUCUGUCUUUCUCUCUCUCUUUGAUCUCUCUUUCGUGGCCUGGAAAACACGGAGAUUCACAUGGUGUGGACGUCAUCGUUGUCAUCGUCGUCAACGUCAUCAUCGUUAUCGUCAGCGUCAUCGUCGCAAUCUAUCUUCCAUCAUCGUGCUGUGAUUGUCGCUGUGUAUCGUUGUUGAUGAUCAUCGCCGUUGUACCGUUGCGUACACGCACACACAUGUAUUACGCAUCGUCGACGUGAGCAGAAGCACCCCCUCCCCUUGCAGCUCAUCAAGGAGCGGACGCGUGCUGGUCAACACGAUAAAUUCAAUAGAUGCAUAUCCCGAAGGAAACGCGUAUCUCCCGUGCCAUCGGAGAGAAAAGCUUGCAAUAGCAAUUGGCGAGAUAUCGGAAGAAGAGAAGGAAAGAAAGAAGAAAGAAGAAAGAAGAAAGAAGAGAAAAGAUCGAAGAAGAAAAAAGAUGCAAAGUAGCAAAGGAUUCUUCGGAUUUCUCGAGGAUCAUCGUUCUAUCAUUCUCGAAUGCAUUGAUAGUCUUUGUUCGCGAUGAUGGAGGAAACAGAGCCGAUACUUUCUUUAAUUAUCAGAGAGACCGGAGGACGCAGGUAUUUCGAUAUCGGCUCGGUGAUAGAUAAAUGUCAGUUUUUACUCGGAUAACAAGAUCCUCGGGAAGAGGAAUUGGAAUAA